rnacentral:lncRNA from 10 species
UGGAGUCUUCCUAUGUUGCCCAGUCUGAACUUGAACUCGUGAACUCAAGCAAUCAUCCUACCUCAGCCUUCCAAGCAGCUGGGAAUAAAAAAGUCCACCACCACGUCUCGCAGCAGUUCCUCCGCAUCAAGAAUCUGGCAAAUUUAUCUUGGACCUCUUCUUCACGGUGUCUCACAGGCUGCAAGCAAGUUGUUGGCUGGGUUUUGGCCAUCUCAAAUCUCAACUGGGUAAAGAUUUGCUUCCAAUAUCACACAGUUAAUGGCAGGAUUCGGUUCUUCACAAGUCAUUGAACUGAAGACCUCAAUUAUUUGCUAUUGGCCACAGGCUGCCCUCGGUUUAUUGCCACAUGGGCUUCUCCAGCAAGGCAAAAACACACAUGCUGAGAAGGCAAUAGAGAGAGCCUACUAGCAAGACAGAAGUCUUUUAAAACCUAAUCGUGGAAAAUGACAUUCCGCAACUUUUGCUAUAUUCUGCUUAUUAGAAAAGAGGCAGGAAUACCAGGAGAUAGGGAUCAUUGGAACUGAUAUUAAAUGACUAUCAAAGUUCACCCUCUGGCCUCUAACGAUUUUUUAUUUCCCUACCAAAUGUGAAAUAACUCCUCUCAAGGUUCUCAGACGUCUCAUUCCAUUAUAACAUCAACUUGAAGUAUAGAAUCCUCAUCGUUAAAAUCAGCUCUCACUCUUUGUUCAGUGUCUCUCAACCUGUGACCUGUGACUAUUCAGACCAGCCCCAUGACACCUAUUUAUGCCAUAUGGAGAAAAGCACCACCUAGAAAAGCCUUCCCAAAUUCCUGAACCUCAAGUGUGCAG